rnacentral:rRNA from 1 species
GAUGAACGCUGGCGGCGUGCUUAACACAUGCAAGUCGAACGAAGAAGGUUGGAAUGAGAGCUUCGGCAGGAUUUCUUUCCAUCUUAGUGGCGGACGGGUGAGUAACGUGUGGGCAACCUGCCCUGUACUGGGGAAUAAUCAUUGGAAACGAUGACUAAUACCGCAUGUGGUCCUCGGAAGGCAUCUUCUGAGGAAGAAAGGAUUUAUUCGGUACAGGAUGGGCCCGCAUCUGAUUAGCUAGUUGGUGAGAUAACAGCCCACCAAGGCGACGAUCAGUAGCCGACCUGAGAGGGUGAUCGGCCACAUUGGGACUGAGACACGGCCCAAACUCCUACGGGAGGCAGCAGUGGGGAAUAUUGCACAAUGGGCGAAAGCCUGAUGCAGCAACGCCGCGUGAAGGAUGAAGGGUUUCGGCUCGUAAACUUCUAUCAAUAGGGAAGAAACAAAUGACGGUACCUAAAUAAGAAGCUC